GAGCGAUGGGGCCAAUGUGUACAAACUCAUCGGACCGGUGCUGGUCAAGCAGGACCUCGUUGAGGCCAAGGCCAACGUCAAGAAGCGCAUCGAGUACAUCUCCGCAGAGCUGAAGCGGAUGGAUCGGGCGCUCAAAGACUUGGAGGAAAAGCAAAA